ACGGAGGGUGCAAGCGUUAUCCGGAUUCACUGGGCUUAAAGGGUGCGUAGGCGGGCAUUUAAGUCAGUGGUGAAAUACCUGAGCUUAACUUGGGAACUGCCAUUGAUACUAUUUGUCUUGAAUGUCGUGGAGGUUAGCGGAAUAUGUCAUGUAGCGGUGAAAUGCUUAGAUAUGACAUAGAACACCUAUUGCGAAGGCAGCUUACUACACGAUCAUUGACGCUGAGGCACGAAAGCGCGGGGAGCUAACAGGA
rnacentral:rRNA from 1 species